UUCAGUUACCUUAGAACACAAUUUGACAAGAAGAAUUAUUCUUCUUGCUCUGUUAUUCAAUACAUUCUGCUCUUUGUGGUUA